AAUGAACGCUGGCGGAAUGCUUUACACAUGCAAGUCGAACGGCAACACGGGGGCAUCCCUGGUGGAGAGUGGCGAACGGAUGAGUAAUUCACCGGAACAUGCCCUGUCGAGGGGGAUAACGUAGCGUCAGGUACGCUAAUACCGCAUACGAUCAGAGGUUGAAACCCGGGGACCUUUGGGCCUCGCGCGAUUGGCGCGGCCGAUGUCAGAUUAGGUAGUUGGUGGGGUUACGGCCUACCAAGGCGACGAUCUGUAGCUGAUCUGAGAGGCCGACCAGCCACACUGGGACUGAGACACGGCCCAGACUCCUACGGGAGGCAGCAGUGGGGAAUUUUGGACAAUGGGCGCAAGCCUGAUCCAGCCACUCCGCGUGCAUGACGAAGGCCUUCGGGUUGUAAAAUGCUGUUGUACGGGACGAACAGGCGCUGGCUAAUACCUGGGGCUCAUGACGGUACCGUAAGAAUAAGCACCGGCUAACUACGUG
rnacentral:rRNA from 1 species